GGACUACCCGGGUAUCUAAUCCCGUUCGCUACCCUAGCUUUCGUGCCUCAGCGUCAGAAGAGAACCAGUAAGCCGCUUUCGCCACCGGUGUUCCUUAGGAUAUCAACGCAUUUCACCGCUCCACCCUAAGUUCCGCUUACCUCUGUCUCCCUCGAGCACGGUAGUUUUGAGCGCCAUUCCUCAGUUAAGCUGAGGUAUUUCACACCCAACUUUCCGCACAGCCUACGCACCCUUUAAGCCCAGUAAUUCCGAAUAACGUUCGUACGGUUCGUCUUACCGCGGCUGCUGGCAC
rnacentral:rRNA from 1 species